rnacentral:rRNA from 1 species
GAUGAACGCUGGCGGCGUGCCUAAUACAUGCAAGUCGAGCGAACAGACGAGGAGCUUGCUCCUCUGACGUUAGCGGCGGACGGGUGAGUAACACGUGGAUAACCUACCUAUAAGACUGGGAUAACUUCGGGAAACCGGAUCUAAUACCGGAUAAUAUAUUGAACCGCAUGGUUCAAUAGUGAAAGACGGUUUUGCUGUCACUUAUAGAUGGAUCCGCGCCGCAUUAGCUAGUUGGUAAGGUAACGGCUUACCAAGGCAACGAUGCGUAGCCGACCUGAGAGGGUGAUCGGCCACACUGGAACUGAGAAAAGGUCCAGACUCCUACGGGAGGCAGCAGUAGGGAAUCUUCCGCAAUGGGCGAAAGCCUGACGGAGCAACGCCGCGUGAGUGAUGAAGGUCUUCGGAUCGUAAAACUCUGUUAUUAGGGAAGAACAAAUGUGUAAGUAACUAUGCACGUCUUGACGGUACCUAAUCAGAAAGCCACGGCUAACUACGUG